AUUGAACGCUGGCGGCAUGCCUAACACAUGCAAGUCGAACGGCAGCAUGUUCUGGGUAACCAGAAUGAUGGCGAGUGGCGAACGGGUGAGUAACGCGUAGGAAUAUACCUUAAAGACUGGGACAACUUGGGGAAACUCAAGCUAAUACCGGAUGAGCUCUUAGGAGGAAAGCUGGGGACCUUAGGGCCUGGCGCUUUAAGCAUAGCCUGCGUCCGAUUAGCUAGUUGGUAGGGUAAGAGCCUACCAAGGCGACGAUCGGUAGCUGGUCUGAGAGGACGGACAGCCACACUGGGACUGAGACACGGCCCAGACUCCUACGGGAGGCAG
rnacentral:rRNA from 1 species